CCUCCACUGAUUCUUCUUCUCCUCUAGAGCAUCCAAAAGAUCAAAGGAAAAAGAAAUAGAUCAGCCUUCAAAGAUCCUUGCGAGCUAGCACUCUCAAGAAGCCUGAUCAGCAUCCGUUCUUCGUGUGGAUGAUCUGUAGAGGUCAGACUCUUUUGUGCGAUUGCGAGCAAUCUGAAGGAACUCCUUCCCACAUGAAACACUUGUGGAGUUCAGCAACCCACACUUCAGUAAUGAGUUUUGAACUUGUUAGAUUAGUUUUGAUAGAUCUA
rnacentral:lncRNA from 1 species